rnacentral:lncRNA from 1 species
UCCCAAUCGACAGUGCCAAAUGUCUAUAUCAGUAUGGACAUCAACUUUGCUGACAAAAUUACAAGUAGCAGAAUUAAAAUUAUUACAACACAAACGUGAAGUAACAAUAUGACAUUUACUAGAAGAGACAUGAGAAAUUACAUUGUGAGAAAUGAUGGAAUUUAUUUUGGCCUUUUGAGUGAUGAUAGCAGAUUGACCAUUGAGCUGAUGUCCAGAAUGCUGAAAAUGGUAUAAACCACCUUCAAGCUUGCCUAUCCCAAUCGUCUUCCAUGUUAAAAGAUUCAGGAUAAAGCAAUAGUGAUGUAAGAACUCCAGAAAGCAUUUAUGCUUGAUAAUAAGGUUACUAGCAGAAAUCAAAUUGAACUUGAAAUAUGGUACUACUAGCGCAUCUGUCAAAGUUAAUGUAUCAGACAAUUUCACUAUGCCAAUAUGUAUGACUUGAGCAGAAUCACCAUUAGGUAGCUUCACAGAAGCCUUAAUUUGAUUGAUCACAGUAGUUAGUUGGCUAGCUGAACAAAACAUAUGCUCUGAAGCUCCUGUGUCAAUAACCCAUUUACCUGGAAUUGUGGAACAUUAGGAUAUCUACGAUUACCUGAGAAUGCAAAGGCGUCAGGUACUUGAAAGGGCAAAGAUAUCACUUCCUGGGAUUGUUGAUUUCCUGUGGAGAGUUGCCCUCAUAGUUGUGGAGCAAGCAUAGCCAAAAUUUGUUGGCAAUUGUUUAGUGUAAUGGUGAGAUUCAACAAGGAAUUGAUCACCUCAGAACUGCUACCCUGGGAAACUUGACCCACAGCAUUAGCAACUAAGGACUUUUCUUUAGUGAAUCUAUGGCCAGGAGGGAUAUCCAACCAGUUUGUAACACUUUCUCUUGAGAUGACCAAGCAUUCCACAAUAGCUACAUAUAGGUCUUUCAUUUUUCUGUGUUUGACUAGAUGCAUUAGUUCUUUGACUGCCAUAUGAAUUAGGAAUCACCCGACUAGCAAGAGCUGCCACAUCAAAAUUCUGUUGCCUUUUAGCAGAAACUUCUUUUUGUCUCUCAUCCUGUAGAAUCAAUGCAAAUACCUUGUUCAGUAAGGGCAAUGGAUCCAUCAGUAAAAUUUAGCUUUCAUACUUGAAAACCGUUUAUCUAAUCCCUUUAGAAACUACAUGAUUUGAUCUACAAAUUUAUAAUCUGCAUUAUUAACGUCUAGCCUGUAAUUGUCCAAUUACUCCCACAAUCCUUGAAAUCGAUUGAAGUAAGAAUUGACUGAACUGUUGUCUUGAGAAAUUGAUGCAAUCAGCUUCUUUAUCUCAUAAAUGCGAGCACCAUUACCUUGACUAUAUCGAUCCCUAAGUUCGAUCCAGAUUUGACGUGCAGAAUCAUUAUGCAUCACACUUGGGUAAAGUUCCUUUGGAAUGGAAUUGAUAAUCCAGGAAGAGACUACGUGAUUGUAUCUUUUCCAAGCACCAUAGAGCGGAUCAUCUACAGGAGGUUUAACAAUGGAUCCAUCAAUGAAUCAUUCUUUGUUUUUAACACUAAGAGCCAUGGUGACUGUGUGACUCCAUGUUGCAUAACACAGACAUAAGUUGCAUCCCUGUGUUAUCACCAUAAUGGAGAUAAUAUGGACUGUUUGGAUCGUUUAUCAAACGAUUAACCAUAGAAGUGAUGUUUCCAGUGUAAUCGAUUGGCGAAUCAAUGUGAUCGGACUGAUUUUGAGCUUCUGCUUGCUCGUUAGAUUCUCUCGCCAUUGCCAGAAAAUCUCAAUGCUCUGAUACCAUGAUAAGUUGGCAGUAAGAGAGAUUGAAAGAAGAAGGAAAGGUGGGAAAAUU